ACCUUGCCUGAUCUCCCACCCAGUGCUGGAGUAUUCCACGGACUCCAUGUAGGUACUGCACCUUUGCAAGAAUACUGCUGGUGUUGGCCUCUCAAUUGGGCAAAGCACUCCAGACCUUUUGGAAGAGUGACUCCAAAGGCAAGCACCUGCUUGGCAGGCCCCUCACUUUCUACGCAAGUAUAAGUCUCCCAAGUACUAGAAUGCAGAGUUUCCUGGCUAUGGGAUAAGCACAACUUGGAUCCAAAUGCCCUAUAUUAAUGAAAUCAAACUUACUCGUCCCAGAAAACACUGUCUGCUAUUCUGGAGGAUGCCUGGUCACGCU